rnacentral:rRNA from 1 species
UACAGAGGUCUCAAGCGUUGUUCGGAUUCAUUGGGCGUAAAGGGUGCGUAGGUGGCACUGUAAGUCGGGUGUGAAAUCCUGAGGCUUAACCUCGGAACUGCAUUCGAUACUGCGGUGCUUGAGGACUGGAGAGGAGACUGGAAUUCAUGGUGUAGCAGUGAAAUGCGUAGAGAUCAUGAGGAAGACCAGUGGCGAAGGCGGGUCUCUGGACAGUUCCUGACGCUGAGACACGAAAGCCAGGGGAGCAAACGGG